CCUCUGCGAAGUUUGGAGUUGUCUUCAAUGUCAUCAAUAAGUAGGCUGGCAUUGUGAAGCAUUUCGGUCACUUCAAUUAUUACCUGUUUUUUGUCUUCUGCGCAUG